AGAGUUUGAUCCUGGCUCAGAUUGAACGCUGGCGGCGUGCUUAACACAUGCAAGUCGUGCGAGAAAGGGGACUUCGGUCCCUGAGUAGAGCGGCGCACGGGUGAGUAACGCGUGGAUAAUCUACCCAGAUGUUCGGGAUAACGGCGGGAAACUGCCGCUAAUACCGGAUACGAUCCAAUUUCGGUUGGGUGAAAGGCGGCCUCUGCUUGCAAGCUGUCGCAUCUGGAUGAGUCCGCGUCCCAUUAGCUUGUUGGUGGGGUAAUGGCCUACCAAGGCUACGAUGGGUAACUGGUCUGAGAGGAUGAUCAGUCACACUGGAACUGAAACACGGUCCAGACUCCUACGGGAGGCAGCAGUGGGGAAUAUUGCGCAAUGGGGGAAACCCUGACGCAGCGACGCCGUGUGAGGGAAGAAGGCUUUCGGGUCGUAAACCUCUGUCGGGAGGG
rnacentral:rRNA from 1 species